CUGCAACUCGCCUGCAUGAAGUCGGAGUUGCUAGUAAUCGUGGAUCAGAAUGCCACGGUGAAUGCGUUCCCGGGUCUUGUACACACCGCCCGUCACACCAUGGAAGUUGGGGCGCCCGAAGUUGGUCGAAAGAUAGAUUACCUAAGGCGAAAUCAAUGACUGGGGUGAAGUCGUAACAAGGUACC
rnacentral:rRNA from 1 species